GACGAACGCUGGCGGCGUGCUUAACACAUGCAAGUCGAACGGAAAGGCCCUGCUUUUGUGGGGUUCUCGAGUGGCGAACGGGUGAGUAACACGUGAGUAACCUGCCCUUGACUUUGGGAUAACUUCAGGAAACUGUGGCUAAUACCGGAUAUGAGCUCCUGCUGCAUGGUGGGGUUUGGAAAGUUUCGGCGGUUGGGGAUGGACUCGCGGCUUAUCAGCUUGUUGGUGGGGUAGUGGCUUACCAAGGCUUUGACGGGUAGCCGGCCUGAGAGGGUGACCGGCCACAUUGGGACUGAGAUACGGCCCAGACUCCUACGGGAGGCAGCAGUGGGGAAUAUUGCACAAUGGGCGGAAGCCUGAUGCAGCAACGCCGCGUGAGGGAUGAAGGCCUUCGGGUUGUAAACCGCUUUCGCCUGUGAAGAAGCGAGAGUGACGGUAAUGGGUAAAGAAGCACCGGCUAACUACGUG
rnacentral:rRNA from 1 species